CUUCGUAUAGUAAUUUGGGUUGCCUACUGGUUUCGAGUUCGACGAAUUUAAAUUAUCUCGGGGAAUGUUUAUCGGGUUUUUUUUUCCAUAUGUGCCAGAUACGGUAAUUUCCUUCAAGAAAGAAUUCACUUUCGUACUCCGAAAUUGGGAAAGUAGAUAUUUCGAUUUAUUCUGUGGAAAUCCAAGAGUUUUGGGAUGAAAAUAUUUUCCUGAUUUCUUUCAAUAUUGUAUUGCAAGUUGGUUAUUUGAUGAAGCAAUAUAAUACCCAAAUUUGGGGAUCAUUGGAGUGUAUUGAAAGAGUAUCUUUCUCCAUUAGGCCACACAACAUCAAAGGCCUUUUUUUUCCCGACUUUUUCUCCUCGAGUUUACGUUUGGAAUAUAACGUAAAAUAUAAGAGUGCGGUCGACAGAGAAUUCAAUUUACCUAAGAUCCAAGAACAUUAAGGAUACUGAACGAGCGCUGCAGAUUUUUUGUUUAUGUUCAAUUUUUGUCUUCACGAGUUUGGACUCACAGGAUUGAGAAUUGGUGACGUAGUUUUAAUAAUAGUUUCAAUCCUGCUGUUCAUCAAACUGGUAUGUACAGAUAAUUUCGAUUUCGAUUGCUGGUACCAAUCAAGAAUACCUUGUGACAUAGGAACUUUUCUAGUGAAGUUGAUUUUGGAGUUUUGACAUUAAUAAGUGAAUAUCUGAAUAUCUGAACCUAUAGAGUAAAUACACAUAUAAAUGAUCAUUACCUAUUGUUCAAAUACAAAAUUUGUCAACUGAUAUUGAUCAAGUGAGGUGCACCUUCAAUAUUUUUUUGUGAAAGCUUUAAUAUUAUUACGUUACUACUUAAUGUUAGGCUCAAGAUUUUGUUGGAAAUUUCGCUAGAAUUGUGCUCGAAUUCGACGUUACAUAUUAAAUUCUUUUCAUAUUC